rnacentral:rRNA from 1 species
CCUACGGGUGGCAGCAGUGAGGAAUAUUGGUCAAUGGACGAGAGUCUGAACCAGCCAAGUAGCUUGCACUCUUCCUUCCCUCUUUUUUUUCCCCUUCUUUUCUCUUUUCCUCCCCCAUUUUAUGCAUACCCUCUUGUAUUUACCAUAUGAAUAAUUAUCUGCUAACUCCUUGCCAGCCACCUCUGUAAUACUUCUUAUCCUCUCGUUAUCCUGAUUUAUUGGGUUUAAAGGGAGCGUAGGUGGAUUGUUAAGUCAGUUGUGAAAGUUUGAGGCUAAAACGUAACAGGGAAGGUGAAAAGGGCAGUCUUGAGUACAGUAGAGGUGGGCGGAAUUCGUGGUGUAGAGGUGAAAUGAUUAGAUAUAAAGAAGAACUAAGAUUGAGAAGGAAGAUCAAUGGAAUGCAAAUGAAACUGAUGCUCGAAAGGGGGGGGAGAAAAAAGGAGGAGAGAAAAAAGGAGGC